rnacentral:rRNA from 1 species
UAUCUCUGUAGAGUCUGCAUAUCAAUAAGCGGAGGAAAAGAAACUAACAAGGAUUCCCUUAGUAACGGCGAGUGAAGCGGGAAGAGCUCAAAUUUGAAAUCUUCAAGGUUCUACCUUGACGAAUUGUAGUUUAAAGAAGUGUUUUCUGUUAGAUGAGUAGCAAAAGUUCCUUGGAAUGGGACAUCAUAGAGGGUGAGAAUCCCGUAUUUGGUUAUUCAUUCUAGCUUUGUGAUACACUUUCAAAGAGUCGGAUUGUUUGGGAAUGCAGUCCAAAAUGGGUGGUAAAUUUCAUCUAAAGCUAAAUAUUGGCGAGAGACCGAUAGCGAACAAGUACCGUGAGGGAAAGAUGAAAAGAACUUUGAAGAGAGAGUUAAACAGUACGUGAAAUUGUCAAAAGGGAAGCGUUUGACACCAGUGUUGUUUUUCCGAAAAUCAAUUACGAAUGGCUUGAUUUUGUGUUGUAUUGACCUUAUCAGCUUUCUGCACUUUUUUCGAGUCCUUUCUUAAUGCACUUUUCGGUUAACAAGUCAACAUCAAUUUCUUUUGUUGUAAAAGAGUAUUCGGAAGGUGGCUUUCUUUUCGGAGAAAGUGUUUAUAGCCCUAUACUUCUACAAUCGGAGAGAUUGAGGUCUGCAGCGUAGAUCCUUCGGGGUUAGAUACACUUGUGCUAAGUUGUAGCUUUUCAUAGACAACUUGUUGACUAUGUUUAGUCAUGCGGCUUACUCGCUUGUGCUAUUUUACCUACGCUUAGGAUGUUGACUGAUAUGUAGUCGUA